UCAAAGGAGCAUCGGGACCUGAUGAUGUACUGCAAAUGCUGAAGUUCAAUUCUUUGAACCUUCAUCUAAAGAAACAAAGUGUGCUCUCGUGUGGUUCUGACGGAAAAGCAGUUUCAACAAGAACCCUCCGCUUCAGAAACCCAGUUAUACUUUAUGUGACCCAUCUGAUGGCUCCUGACUAGGCUAUGCCGCUCUGAAGCAUUGAGAUGGCGAAAGGUCGUGGGGGCUGCACCUCUGCUUUCGAAAGAUGAAUCAGUCAUUCCACACUGUGCUUACUGGCUUUGCAUCGAGUCUAACAAAUCCGACGUGCCUGGACUGCCUUUUUCAAGGAAGUUUGAAAUAUAAAGCAUCCCUUAUGCACCUGCAUUUCAAUUAAGAUCUGUGUUACAAGAAUGACAGACCACUCAACAGUGAUGAACAGCAGUGAUGAAAGGUGGAAGUGCUGGAACGAAGAUGCGUUAAUCUGUGUGAAAGGUGUUUUGUAUGUGUCUGAGUCAUGGCCGUAGGUCACAAGCAAAUUUCUGUCCUCAUAAGAGGUGUCAACUAUGCUCUUUCUAUCUACUAACCUGCUCCACUUUAGGGUUCCCUGUAAGCUAAUUGAACACAUCAUAUACCAGCACGUUGUUAACCACGUUGAGUCUAUAAAUUUUUUUUAAAAAUUCCAGCAUGGCUUUAGAAAAGGGUAUUUAGACAAAAGUAACAUAAUUCGGUCACAGCAUUUUAAACUGUCUUGAUUUCUGGGUUCACGUAGAUGCAGUAUUUUUUUUUAUUUUGUGAGGGCUUUUGGCACUGUGUUUUAUGCUUGCUUGUUGGCCAAACUAGCCCCAUCAAAAUUUGAUCUUGCUACCAUUAACUGGAUAUGCAGUUUCUUGACUAACCGCAACCCUGCCAACAAUUCGUGAGGAGAACCUAUCAUAUCGCCACCAUGCAGCAUUCCUCGGGUUGCAUAUGCAUCACAUUUUAAUCAAGUGUGAAGCAAGGCCUUUAGGUGAUCGGUCUUGUAUAAUUACACGUCCCUCCGUUAUUUAACACCACACAGUUCUUCAACCUAUGACAGAUAAAUAAAUAUAUUGCCAAGUAAAUUGUUUACAAGGCUGAUUACCCCAUUUCACCACAUUAACGCAAACAAUUGUUAGAGUAGUGGCCCAGGGUAUGAAGCUUGCCACUAAUCAUCAUUCACACAAAGUUUGUAAUGCAGAAUCCUUUACUGAAAACACCGACUUAACACAACAAUUGAGAACAAAGAGAGUGAACGUUUCGUCGCCUAUCCGGGUGGCAUCAUCGCUACAACAGAGAACAGUCACAAACAACAUCGACGGAGUCAAAUCAGUGGUGUGCAUUCCUUUCAUCCAAGGUGUUGAUAGGCCAUUUGAAGGGAACUGUGCCCAUCAGGCAUUAAGACUGUGCAUAUAAAGUUAAGUGCACAGACUGUGACACAACCUACAUUGGCAAGACAGACAAAAGACGUGGGAAAAGACUAAAAGAGCACACAAGGGACGUUCCCAAGGCUACUAAUGCUA